AUCACUUCUGGGCCUUUUGGCUAAGAUCAAGUGUAGUAUCUGUUCUUAUCAAUUUAAUAUCUGAUACAUCCCUAUAUCGAAAAACAAUAUAUUAAAUGGAUUUUUGAAGCAGGGAGAUGGAAUAGAAGCUUGCUCCAGGCACUCUGCAAACUGAUCUGGUAUUGCACUACUUCUGGGAAUGGUGCACAAAAU